AGAGGAUGCUUUAUAAAACUCAUA
rnacentral:miRNA from 1 species